rnacentral:rRNA from 1 species
ACGAACGCUGGCGGCGUGCCUAACACAUGCAAGUCGAGCGGGAAAAAAGGGGCAAACCCUUGAGUACAGCGGGCGCACGGGUGGAGUAAAACACGUAGGUUAACCUACCUUGGAGUCUGGGGAUAACCUGUCGAAAAGACGGGGCCUAAUAACCGGAAUAAGACCCACGCCGAACUUCGGUUUGUGGGGUAGUAAAAGAUGGCCCUCUUGUUUACAAGCUAUCACUCCCUGGAUGGGCCUGCGCGCCAUUAGCUAGUUGGUGGGGGUAACGGCCCACCAAGGCGAAGAUGGCUAGCUGGUCUGAGAGAGGAUGGCCAGCCACACUGGGACUGAGACACGGCCCCAGACUCCUACGGAGGCAGCAGUGGGGGAAUAUUGCGCGAUGGGCGGAAAGCCUGACGCAAGCCGACCGCCGCGUGGGGUGAUGAAGGCCUUCGGGGUCGUAAAGCCCUGUCAGGAGGGAAGAAGAAAUCUCAUUAACCUAACACGUUUAGUGACUUGACGGUACCUCCGAAGGAAGCAACCGGCUAACUCCGUGCCAGCAGCCGCGGGUAGGUAAUACGGAGGGUGCGAGCGUUUGUUCGGAAUCACUGGGGCGUUAAAGCGGCGUGUAGGCGGCCUUUUUAAGUCUGAUGUGAAAGCCCGGGGCUCACCCCCGGAAGGUGCAUCGGAUACUGGGGAGGCUGGAAGUACCGGAGAGGAGGGUGGAAUUCCCGGUGUGUAGCGGUGAAAAUGGCGUAGAUAUCAGGAGGAACACCGAUGGCGAAGGCGGCCCUCUGGACGGAUACCGACGCUGAGAACGCGAAAAAAGCGUGGGGAGCAAAACAGGAUUAGAUACCCUGGUAGUCCACGCCGUAAAACGAUGGGCAACUAGGUGCUCGGGGGUAUUGACCCCCUGGGUGCCGCAGCUAACGCAUUAUAAGUGCCCCGCCUGGGGGAAUACGGCCGCAAGGUUUAAAACUCAAAGGAAUUGAACGGGGGGCCCCGCACAAGCGGUGGAAGCAUGUGGUUCAAUUCGACGCAACGCGAAGAAACCUUACCUGGGGCUAGACAACAUUCGGACCGCCUCAGAGAUGAGGCUUUCCCGCAAGGGACCGGUGGUUCAGGUGCUGCAUGGCUUGUCGUCAGCUCGUGUCGUGAGAUGUUGGGUUAAGUCCCGCAACGAGCGCAACCCCUGCCUCUAGUUGCUACCAUUUAGUUGUGAGCACUCUAGAGGGGACUUGCCCGUGUUUAAAACGGGAGGAAGGUGGGGGAACGACGUUCAAGGUCCUCAUGGCCCUUAUGUCCAGGGCUACACACGUGCUACAAUGGGGCGGUACAAAAGGGCUGCUAACCCGCCGAGGGGGAGCCAAUCCCAAAAAAGCCGCUCUCAGUUCGGAUUGGAGUCUGCAACUCGACUCCAUGAAGGCGGAAUCGCUAGUAAUCGCGGAUCAGCAUGCCGCGGUGAAUACGUUCCCGGGCCUUGUACACACCGCCCCCGUCACACCAUGGGAGUCAGUCGUACCGGAAGUCGGUGCUUCAACCCGCAAGGGGGGAUAGCCGCCUAUGGUAUGGCUGGUGACUGGGGUG